GCCGGUGUGGUAUAGUGGUUUGAGCAUUGGACUGUGGCUCCGGAGACCAGGGUUCAAAUCUCAGCUCAGCCA